rnacentral:rRNA from 1 species
GACGAACGCUGGCGGCGUGCUUAACACAUGCAAGUCGAACGGAAAGGCCCUGCUUUUGUGGUGUUCUCGAUUGGCGAACGUGUGUGUAACACGUGUGUAACCUGCCCUUUACUUUGGGAUAACUUCAGGAAACUUGGUCUAAUACCCGAUAUGAGCUCCUGCUGCAUGGUGGGGGUUGGAAAGUUUCGGCGGUUGGGGAUGGACUCGCUGCUUAUCCGCUUGUUGGUGGGGUAGUGGCUUACCAAGGCUUUGACGGGUAGCCGGCCUGAGAGGGUGACCGGAGAAAAUGGGACUGAGAGACGGACCAGAAGACAACGGGAGGAAGAAGUGGGGAAUAGUGCAGAAUGGGAGGAAGCAUGAUGAAGAAACGCAGGGAGGGGGAAGACGGGGGUCGGGUUGUAAACAGAUUGAGAAGGAGACGAAGAGUGAGUGACGGUAAUGGGUAAAGAAGCACCGGAUAACUACGUG